GAUGAACGCUGGCGGCGUGCCUAAUACAUGCAAGUCGAGCGAACGGACGAGAAGCUUGCUUCUCUGAUGUUAGCGGCGGACGGGUGAGUAACACGUGGAUAACCUACCUAUAAGACAGGGAUAACUUCGGGAAACCGGAGCUAAUACCGGAUGAUAUUUUGAACCGCAUGGUUCAAAAGUGAAAGACGGUCUUGCUGUCACUUAUAGAUGGAUCCGCGCUGCAUUAGCUAGUUGGUAAGGUAACGGCUUACCAAGGCAACGAUGCAUAGCCGACCUGAGAGGGUGAUCGGCCACACUGGAACUGAGACACGGUCCAGACUCCUACGGGAGGCAGCAGUAGGGAAUCUUCCGCAAUGGGCGAAAGCCUGACGGAGCAACGCCGCGUGAGUGAUGAAGGUCUUCGGAUCGUAAAACUCUGUUAUUAGGGAAGAACAUAUGUGUAAGUAACUGUGCACAUCUUGACGGUACCUAAUCAGAAAGCCACGGCUAACUACGUG
rnacentral:rRNA from 1 species